rnacentral:rRNA from 1 species
AUUGAACGCUGGCGGCAGGCCUAACACAUGCAAGUCGAGCGGAUGAAGGGAGCUUGCUCCUGGAUUCAGCGGCGGACGGGUGAGUAAUGCCUAGGAAUCUGCCUGGUAGUGGGGGAUAACGUCCGGAAACGGGCGCUAAUACCGCAUACGUCCUGCGGGAGAAAGUGGGGGAUCUUCGGACCUCACGCUAUCAGAUGAGCCUAGGUCGGAUUAGCUAGUUGGUGGGGUAAAGGCCUACCAAGGCGACGAUCCGUAACUGGUCUGAGAGGAUGAUCAGUCACACGGGAACUGAGACAGGGUCCAGACUCCUACGGGAGGCAGCAGUGGGGAAUAUUGGACAAUGGGCGAAAGCCUUAUCCAGCCAUGCCGCGUGUGUGAAGAAGGUCUUCGGAUUGUAAAGCACUUUAAGUUGUGAGAAAGCGCAGUAAGUUAAUACCUUGCUGGUUUGACGUUACCAACAGAAUAAGCACCGGCUAACUUCGUG